AGAGUUUGAUCCUGGCUCAGGACGAACGCUGGCGGCGUGCCUAAUACAUGCAAGUCGAGCGAAGUUUUUCUGGUGCUUGCACUAGAAAAACUUAGCGGCGAACGGGUGAGUAACACGUAAAGAACCUGCCUCAUAGACGGGGACAACUAUUGGAAACGAUAGCUAAUACCGGAUAACAGCAUUAACUGCAUGGUUGAUGUUUAAAAGUUGGUUUUGCUAACACUAUGAGAUGGCUUUGCGGUGCAUUAGCUAGUUGGUGGGGUAAAGGCCUACCAAGGCGACGAUGCAUAGCCGACCUGAGAGGGUGAUCGGCCACACUGGGACUGAGACACGGCCCAGACUCCUACGGGAGGCAGCAGUAGGGAAUCUUCCGCAAUGGGCGAAAGCCUGACGGAGCAACGCCGCGUGAGUGAAGAAGGAUUUCGGUUCGUAAAGCUCUGUUGUUAGGGAAGAAUGAUUGUGUAGUAACUAUACACAGUAGAGACGGUACCUAACCAGAAAGCCACGGCUAACUACGUGCCAGCAGCCGCGGUAAUACGUAGGUGGCAAGCGUUGUCCGGAAUUAUUGGGCGUAAAGCGCGCGCAGGUGGUUUAAUAAGUCUGAUGUGAAAGCCCACGGCUCAACCGUGGAGGGUCAUUGGAAACUGUUAAACUUGAGUGCAGGAGAGAAAAGUGGAAUUCCUAGUGUAGCGGUGAAAUGCGUAGAGAUUAGGAGGAACACCAGUGGCGAAGGCGGCUUUUUGGCCUGUAACUGACACUGAGGCGCGAAAGCGUGGGGAGCAAACAGGAUUAGAUACCCUGGUAGUCCACGCCGUAAACGAUGAGUGCUAAGUGUUGGUCUCAUAAGAGAUCAGUGCUGCAGCUAACGCAUUAAGCACUCCGCCUGGGGAGUACGACCGCAAGGUUGAAACUCAAAGGAAUUGACG
rnacentral:rRNA from 1 species